AAAAAUGUCACGCCAGGGGAAGCCCACACCAAACAAAGACCUUACACGAAGUAGUUCUAAAAUCCCAGAAGGAAUAAAUGAAUGGCUAAAAAACGAUUGGGAACCAUUUCCUGGGUUUUAUGACUCACACUGUGGUACUCAAUAGGCUAAUUAGCAAUCAUGGCGCACAUCUAAUCAUACAAAGCUGCACCAAUAUUCAAUAUGUAUCCACAUAAAGAGGAAGAGCUGAUAGGAAGUGGAUAGGCCAGGUAAAUCACAGCAUGAAAGACUGGGCACGCAGCUCAAAAAGCUCCCCUAUCGAUCUUUAGGGACAACACAAUGACCCUACCAAGACUAGCAUACAACGCCACAGUGCAAUGAAUAAUUGCAUCAUUGUUUUCAAGGGAGCACAAAAUUCAGUGAAAAUGUCAUUUGAAUGACGGUGCAAAAGCCCUGUGAAUUGAACCUUUCAUUCCAGUUGUGGGUCUACUCUGGACAGUUAUUAACAAGGUCUUGAAAGGCACCAUGGCAGGCCUGUCUGGCUGUAUUUCUACUUCUGAUACUGAGAUGCGCGGUCUUGUUGCGGAUCAUCAUUCUCGCAUGUCGUCCUAUUAUAAUAAUAAUAAUCUCAGCAGGCCCAGUUAUUCAGGAAAGCUCAACACAUGCUCCGCCUCCUCCGAUCUGAGCAGCUAUUCUUCGCUCAUCUAGAAUCUAACGGUUCAAUAUAGCCCAAAUAUUUGUCAUUUUACUUUUAAAAUGUAUUAAUUACCUUUUACAUGUGGCAUAAACACACAACCGGUCACAAUGUUUUUUCACUGCCUGGCAUGGCAACUGCUCGGCCUCAGACCGCAAGGCAAUAGAGGAUAGUGCGUGCGGCCCAGUACAUCACUGGGGCCCAUCUUCCUUACCAUCCAGGACCUCUACACCAGGCGGUGUCAGAGGAAGGCUCUAAAAAUUGUCAGACUCCAGCCACCCUAGUCACAGACUGUUCUCUCUGCUACUGCAUGGCAAGCGGUAUCCGGAGCGCCAAGUCUAGGUCCAAGAGGCUUCUAAACAGCUUCUACCCCCAAGCCAUAAGACUCCUGAACACCUAAUAAAAUGGCUACCCUGACUAUUUGUAUCCCCCCCCCUAUUUUACACCACUGCUACUCUCUGUUAUUAUCUAUGUAUAGUCACUUUAAUAACUCUACCUACAUGUACAUAUUACCUCAACUAACCGGUGCCCCCGCACAUUGAUCCUGUACCGGUACCACUCGGUGUAUAGUCUCGCUAUUGUUAUUUUACUGCUGCUUUUGAAUCACUUGUUCCUUUUAUUUCUUAUAAUUACUCCUAUUUUUGUAAACUGAAUUGUUGUUUAGUGGCUCGUAAGUAAGUGUUAGGAAUUUGAUGAAUAAUGACUAAACAAUAUCUACAUUUUAAAUAGAACUAUAACUAAUUAAAACUUAUACUCUGUUUUAUUAUAUCUGAUUAAUAAUAUGAAUUCAUAAGGAAGGGAUUGUGUAGCAUGAAACAGGGGGUAAUUAAACAUAAUAAGUACCAUUCCAGCUAGGUUGGGGAGGAAAUUGUGGGUUGUGGGUUUUAAGUAAGCAGAAAGGAUCAUUAACCUGUGGUUGAACCGACUCAACUUAGCUCUGGGAUGUUUAGAUAAGGCAGUGAGUGUUUUCCUGGGUUUUCCAUUAUCUGGAGCUGUCUGCUGAAUAGUGAUAGAUGAAGACUUCACAAGUUUAAUCUUGUUUUAACUGUGUGUCUGGAGUGAGCGAGCGAGGGGGUGGGAAUAAACUUUUGAACCUGUUCUGUCCUGGUCGAUAGGGGAAAGGACAUUUUAUAACCUAUGACGUCAUAUUUUGUAUAUAAACUGUUGUUCGUGGUUUCAUGGCAGCGCGCUCCGAGAAUAAAUACUAUUAUCUAAUUUUGAUUAGACUGGUCUCCUUCUAUUUUAUGCAAAUAGGAAUCUUACAAAUUCUUAUAAAAUACUGAGUGAUUUAAUUAAUGUACAAUUAUAGGAAUUAUGAAAUUACAUUAACAGUAAGUAUUUCACUGUAAGGUCUACACCUGUUGUAUUUCACUGUAAGGUCUACACCUGUUGUAUUUCACUGUAAGGUCUACACCUGUUGUAUUUCACUGUAAGGUCUACACCUGAUGUAUUUCACUGUAAGGUCUACACCUGAUGUAUUUCACUGUAAGGUCUACACCUGUUGUAUUUCACUGUAAGGUCUACACCUGUUGUAUUUCACUGUAAGGUCUACACCUGUUGUAUUUCACUGUAAGGUCUACACCUGAUGUAUUUCACUGUAAGGUCUACACCUGUUGUAUUUCACUGUACGGUCUACACCUGUUGUAUUUCACUGUAAGGUCUACACCUGUUGUAUUUCACUGUAAGGUCUACACCUGUUGUAUUUCACUGUAAGGUCUACACCUGAUGUAUUUCACUGUAAGGUCUACACCUGUUGUAUUUCACUGUAAGGUCUACACCUGUUGUAUUCAGCGCACUAAUAACAUUUGAUUUUAAUGUUUUAAUCUGAUUACUUCAAAAGUCU
ensembl:lncRNA